GUACCUGCAAAGAACUCUUAGGCUCCAUGAAAACUGAUUUGGAAACUACUAAAUUAGCUCUCUUAUUUCAUAAAUGAAGAAAACUGAGGUCAAUUUACUUAUUUAAGGUAAGAUAAUAUCAAAAUGUAGGCCAGAAUGGAGGUUUUCUUUGGUCUCAGUCCAAGGCUCCUCCCAUUUUUGCUCUGAAUGCGUGUGUGUGUGUGUGUGUGUGUGUGUGUGUGUGUGUGUGUAUGAGAGAGAGAGAGAGAAUGGUGACUCAAGAGUUAAAUGUAGAUGAAGAACAGACCGGUUCUGAAAGGAAAUGUGAACCUGAGGAAAUUUUCCAUGAAGGUUCCCCAUGCAUUCCAAGUGACAAAUAGAUGCAGUAAAGAUAUUAUAUUUGUUCUGAUUACCCAAAGGAUGCUGGGCAACAUAAAGAGUUUUUGAAGAGAACAGCAACUGAUGAUGAAGCGUGGUGCCCCUAAUGGAGUGAGGAAACCAAGCAGCAAUCACCAACUUUGCAGGGACCUAGGGGAAAUGUUCUGGCUGAGAGGCUUCCAUUUCCUGUCCUAUCAGCUUCGCCAGGACCGAGACUCAGGGUGGUGGGAGAAGCAGGUGGCAAAAUGCAUAGCACUGCCCCUGCCAGGGCUGACAGUUUCUCUAAGAGGAGAGUGUGGGUAGGAAGGAGAUAGCAGAUGUCUCUGGGACAGUGUCCUGUUCAUCAGGCUUUGUAGUAUUUCCGUGUUCAGUGAAAGAGAGAUGAACAAAGAGAGAAAGACAGGAUUUGGUGGCAGAACAAAAAUGGCCAUCAUGCUGACUCACUUAAUUUUUUUUUUUCUGGCCACUGCACUGCUGCCUUCCUUGUUUCGUUAUUGUUUCGACUGUUUGUAUUCCUUCUGUAGUGCCUCCAGGAGCACCAUCUCGGUUUUGAUGAGAUCCAAGGAAGCCCUAUCACUUGCCCUAUCGUACAACCUGAUGUCAUCAUGGAGGCUGAAAAUCCUCACGCCUUUCAUUCUGUCUAGGGCUGACUGGAACCAGGGCUGGCUGUGCCCAUCAGCUGUCAGGCUGCUCUUUAGCGAGGCUUGGAAAGUUCCAGCAAAAGCCCUGCCUUUGAACCGGAAUCACUCUGCCACUGUCUGCAUGUGGAUCCUUUGUAGUGGAGACAGAGAUCUUUGUUUUGUAUAA
rnacentral:lncRNA from 1 species